GAAAGACUUGUACUAAAUUCACACUGUUACAGGUACCAGCGCUGGCAAGGCGGGGAGAGCCGCUGGACGACGCGAGAGAGGCGGAGAGAGAGGGAGAGAGAGAGAAAAUUCGGCGACACGCGACUGAGACGCGUGCCGCCAGAUACGAUCCGACCUUUGAACUGACUCCUCGCGAGACGCUCAGUACUUUCGGGAGAUAGCUGUUAGGAGAGUAAAAGUUGAAGUGUGUGAGUGUGCGUGCGUAUACGACAUUGCGUCUCGCUACCGCAUCCGGAACUGCACCGAUGGGGUUCCGACUGCUGACAGCGAACAUCAGGGCGAUACCGGCUAAUUGUAAGUGCCAGCUCUCUCUCUCUCUCUCUCUCUCUCUCUCACGCUACACUCGCCAGGGAUCUCCUUAUCCUCCCUCGUACCUGCGACCUCGCUUGCUCGCAUGCAAGCCCUGUAUAUAGUUUGUCAUUAAACGCUGUGACAGUUCCUCAA